GUGUUUGCUUCAGCAGUAUGUAUACUAAAAUUGGAACAAUCCAGAAAAAAAUAGCAUGGCCCCUGAUCAAGGAUGACACACAAACUCAUGAAACAUUCCAUAUUUUU
rnacentral:snRNA from 1 species